rnacentral:misc_RNA from 1 species
GAUAGAACGCAGCGAAAUGCGAUAAGUAAUGUGAAUUGCAGAAUUCAGUGAAUCAUCGAAUCUUUGAACGCACAUUGCGCCCGUCAGUAUUCUGGCGGGCAUGCCUGUUCGAGCGUCAUUACGCCCCUCAAGUCCCCUGUGGACUUGGUGUUGGGGAUCGGCGAGGCUGGUUUUCCAGCACAGCCGUCCCUUAAAUUAAUUGGCGGUCUCGCCGUGGCCCUCCUCUGCGCAGUAGUAAAACACUCGCAACAGGAGCCCGGCGCGGUCCACUGCCGUAAAACCCCCCAACUUUUUAUAGUUGACCUCGAAUCAGGUAGGACUACCCGCUGAACUUAAGCAUAUCAAUAAGCGGAGGA